rnacentral:lncRNA from 1 species
ACCGACUUGCUCAUCCCGUUCCACAUCUCCGCCACCUCCUUCUCGCUCUUCAAGUGGUUCACUAUGAUCCCCUUCUCGCACAGAAACCUCGCGUCCGCGUCCGUGUCGAUGAUCCCGUUCAUUAGCUCCGUGUACCGCGUUAGUAUCAACGGGCCCCGCGCACUGCAAGCCUCGUACGCGACUAGGUUCCUCAGGACAACCUCGGAGUUCACGUCUAGUUCGACGACGGGGAAGUAGAAAGUUAGCGUCUUCUCGUCGAAGCUGAUGCCCGUGAUGCCCUCGUCGGUCGGUUGGAAUUGGACGCCGACUCCGGAUAGUUGAGUGACGGACGGGAUCGUGAUCUCCUCCAGCAACGGUGGCUUCUGGAGUGUUCUGUUGCUGGAGGAGCUCGAUUCGCGUUCGUCGUCUUUUUUCUUGCCGUUUUCGUCGUCGUCCUUGUGGAAAACGGCAAACAUCUGUUCGAUCGGCUCUUUCAUCAUCUUGAUGAUUGGGAUUUUUGUGAGGAUUGUCCACGGCAAUUUCACAACGAAUUUGAGCGGUUUCGAGAAGAUGACGCCCUUCACCCAUUUUACGGGACCAUCCGCUAAGGUCGAAAGAAUCCGCCAUAGCUCGUCAAGAAGUUGUCUCAAAUGGCUCGGCUUCGAAAACGAAUUACUCUUCUCCACAUCAUCGAUUUGAUCACGAUCUUCUUCUUCGCCAUCGCCGAUUUCGAUUAUUUCUUCAGACGGCGACGAAUCUUCCUCAAACGGCACGAUGAAAUGGUACAGAAAGUCCAGUAAGUGAGCAUACUCCUUGACUGGAACUUUCCGUGGGCCGCCGCCCCCGUUGCCCUCGGCGGCGGGGGCGGCGGCCCGCGCAGCCGGUCUGAACGGGCUCAUCUCUAUACUGAGCCCAUUCAGUAUGACGAGCAGAGCUUCGUCUGCCGAAUCGAGAGACGAGUACUGCAUCUCCAGCAACGCCCUCAGCACGAACAGCGGGAUCUGAUUCUCGAGCAUGAUUACGUCCCGGAGAAUCGCGCUGUGGGCGGUUUUGUUCGCCGACAGGGCGGUGAGAUGGGCGAGCCGCGACGGAGUUUUCAUUAAGACAUUUUCACAAACACCUUGCCGGACACCGCAGACCUGGAAGAACUCGAACAGGAAAGACACGUCGACGGCCAUGAUCCAAGCCAGAGCUUCGCCGCCGAAGGCCAACGGCCGGUGGUAGGCGGCGCGGAUUCUGAGCUCGAGUUUCAUAAGAUGGUCGACGAAAUCUUGGAACUUGGCCUUCUGGAGAUCGAGUUGGUUUCUUUUGGCGGCGGCGAUUUUGUACCGCUCCAUAUCGUAGACUUCGGGGCGGAGGUGGUGGUAGGGGCCGACGGCGACUUGCUGUGGGAUGUAAGAAUUAGGGUCGGUCGCCAUUAGAGCUUUGGGAACACCGAAGAUUGUGACGGGGGUUUCGGCCUCUUCUUCGAGCUCUUCGUCUAGGGUUUUGCGGAUCUGGUUGAUCCAUUCAUGUUCUGUUCGAACAAGGACAUGUUUUUUUUGUGUGUGUGUGUGUUAGUGUGUGUAUGAAAGUGUGUAAGUAAUUGUUUCCUGGUUUUUUGGGGAGAUUUAAAUAAUAUGGAAGUAAAGUGUGAAAUGUUAUUCUUGUUCACACAAUAAAAUAUCUGAAUUAGUAAUUAAAAACAUGUGUUUCACAUAUGUUAUUAUUUUUUUUAUUUUUAUUUUUUGAUAAUUGACAUAUGUUAUUAUUGAGUGAUUGACAAUGAUGUCAAAGUAUGAUAGUGUUUGCCUCUUUUCUUUGUUAAUGGCGUUGGUCCAUUGUUGUCUUUGGGUCCAAAUGUGAAUCUUAUGUCUAUAAGAUAUUUCCUCUUUAGACGCCCGCUCUUUUUAUGUACGAACAAAUUACGAAAAAACCCAUCUUAUUUGAAUAAUUAUAACCACCUCUCAACUAUGGAUUUUCGUACACGUUCAUCAUUGCGAUGUCAAAUUUAGUGGAAUUUUCUAGAUUGUAUGGUAAUGUUAUCAAUUUUGUACCCGUUUUACCUCAUUCGAGUUCCACAUUUUGAAGCAAGAUGAUCAUAAGAUGUAAUUUUUGGCUUGUAAAUAUUAGAUUGUAGUGCAUCAAAACUGUAUUUUUGCACAAAAUGAGUACAAACUAGAUAACAUUCGCCAGAAACUAGAAGAUUAUGUUGAAUACGACACCAUAAGAGUGCACAUGUAAGAAAAUGUUGUAAUUACCCAAACAUGAGAGGGUUUUCCGUAAUUUGACCAUACCUCAAGAGGUGGUUGUAAUUUAAAUCAUUUCAAAUGAAAAAUGUUAUUUCGAAAUUGAAAAUUAUGCAAUCGGGAUCGAUAGAAUUCGAAAUUUGGGAUCCAAUUUCCACCCCUAGGCGAGCCAUGGCUACUUACAUGGUUUGGAAACCAGAAUUAAUCGAUUGAGUCUUUAAAAUAUUCUUACCUAUUUCAAGACCCUCAAUUAAAAAUCCUCCUUUUCUUUGUGAAAAUGUUUUGUGGCAAUAAUUAUGAUAAACUCCUAAAUAUCUUACUUACUUGCAAAAGGAAAUUAUAUGUUGGUGUAUACACAUUGAAAUUAAAUGUUACACUUAGUUAUAUACGAUUCAAAUUCACUAAGUGUAAAUAACCAGGUAUAGUAUUUAACUCCCUAUAUACACACAUGUGUAUGAUUGUAUAUAAUCAUUGCGUUCGAGAUAUAAAAAUUAAUGAAGCUAAUAAUUAUAUUUUUUUUCCCUUCAAAUAUAUGAUGUAUGAAUGGUCACGAGUUUUGACAAUAAUUCCAAGAUACAAAUAGCUCUUUCAAAUUCAAGAGAGUCGCACAAAAACACUACAAAUCUCGAUCUAGACGGGGGAAAACAUAUUUCAACAAAUUUUGACAUAUCGAUCUUAUUUAAAUAACUGAAAUCGGAUACAAACACACAAAAAUCAUAACUUUAUUACAAAUUAAGGCUAGCUAGCACACAUGAACACCCAAAAAACAGGACACAAAAAAAAAGGGGGAAAAACAUAAAAAAUCAAAUGUCCCGCAAAGAGUGGCCUAGCAGUCGGAGCCAGAUGGUAACACGAAUACAACUUAUAUAUCGCUUAUACUCGUUUCAUUGUUGGGGUUCGAGAGCUUUGAUCGCCAGAAUUCUCCGACAGCUAUAAACUUGGCAAAACGCUUGCAAACUCAUGAGAGCCAACAACAUAAUCGCGGCAAGAAACGUUAGAAUCCUCCAAGAAGCAAACACGUAAUCCUUCAUGAACUUCCCGAACUUCACCUUCCACCUCCCGUUGUAAUACUUGUUCACAUCCCUAAUUACCUUAUCCAACGAGGGCACUUUCGUCAAUCUAACCGACUUGCUCAUCCCGUUCCACAGAUCCGCCACCUCCUUUUCGCUCUUCAAGUGGUUCACAAUGAUCCCUCUCUCGCAGAGAAAUCUCGCGUCCAGGUCCGUGUCGAUGAUCCCGUUCAUUAGCUCCGUGUUACCGCGUCAGUAUCAACGGGCCCCGCACACUGGAAGCCUCGUACGCGACCAGGUUCCUCAGGACAACCUCGGAGUUCACGUCUAGUUUGAUGACGGGGAAGUAGAAAGUAAGCGUCUUCUCGUCGAAGCUGAUGCUUG